CUACGGGUUGCACCAGUGAGGAAUAUUGCACAAUGGGGGGAACCCUGAUGCAGCAACGCCGCGUGGAGGAUGACGCAUUUCGGUGUGUAAACUCCUUUUAUAUGUCAAGAAAAUGACGGUAGCAUAUGAAUAAGCACCGGCUAACUCCGUGCCAGCAGCCGCGGUAAUACGGAGGGUGCAAGCGUUACUCGGAAUCACUGGGCGUAAAGGACGCGUAGGCUGUUUAGCAAGUCAGAUGUGAAAUCCAAUGGCUCAACCAUUGAACUGCAUUUGAAACUGCUAGACUAGAGUAUGGGAGGGGGAGAUGGAAUUAGUGGUGUAGGGGUAAAGUCCGUAGAUAUCACUAGGAAUACCUAAAGCGAAGGCGAUCUCCUGGAACAUUACUGACGCUAAGGCGUGAAAGCGUGGGGAGCAAACAGGAUUAGAUACCCCAGUAGUC
rnacentral:rRNA from 1 species